rnacentral:lncRNA from 1 species
GGAAUUUGGAGGUGAAUGAAUCUAUAUGACAAAUCUUGUACUACAAGUGUUUGUGGUUAACCGAGAAACAUACUAUGAGUCAAGCCUUCGGAAAGAGGAAAUAGCCUGAGUCCGGCCAUGGUUAACGAGGUUGGUGUUUCUGGGAAAAGAUCUCUU